CCUCAUGAGGGCAGAGCAGAGGGGCACAAUCCCCUCCCUGCCCUGCUGCCCACCCCUCUGGGGGUGCAGCCCAGGACGCAGUUGGCCUGCUGGGCUACAGGCACACACAGGCUACAGGCUGGCUGCUGCCUGGCUUUUUGGCCACCACAACCCCAAAUCCCUCUCCUCAGGGCUGCUCUCGGUGAGCCCUUCUCCCAGUCUGUGCUCAUGGCUGGGAUUGCCCCAGCCCAGGUGCAGCACCUGCACUUGGCUUUGUUGAACCUUAUUAAGUUCACAUGGGUCCACUAUUUCUAGCUUUUUAGCUCUCUUUCCACCUUACCUGCUUGAAUUUUCUGGUGACUUUAUUACCAGGAGCAGAAUUGCAAAGAGAUGCCACUGCUGUUAUUUCAAAGCCUGCCUGCUGACACAGGAUGCAGUGUGCACCCUUGGGGUCCAGCUGAGCAGUGCUUCUUCUGGACCGACAGGUAGCCCAGCCCUUCACAACACCCAUGUGAGCCAGCUCGGUUUCCCUGGCACGCUUUGAACUCACACUUGCUGCUACCCACCCUGUGCAGCCCCGAGGAGCCCUGGCUGAAGACAGAAGGCUUUGGCUGCCCUGCCAGCACAACCUUACGGUGUCCUUAUCUUUUCAGGUCAACAACACUUGAACCGUGCAUGUCCCACCCACAGUUCAUCGUGGGCUCUUUCAGCAGCCCAGGCUCUGCACAGGGAGAGUAGACAGACACGAGCUCCUUCUGCCACUGCCCUGAGCACAAGCCACAUCCAGUCCAGCAGUCUUAUCACCUCGUUAGCAUGCUGGCACCGUGCCCGGGCAAGUAACAUCUGCUGGAGCUAACGAGCUCUGCACACCUCUCCGCCCAGCCACACCUGAGCUGGGUUCGGGGUGCCCUUAGGUGACACAGCAGGGUGGCGAGGAAUGAGAAUCUGGGUCAAAAAGCCUGGCUCCCGAAGUGUGCUGAGCUAUCCAGUGGAUUUUGUCUUCCAUAUCCCAGACCUGUAAAAGGAGAGGACUUGCAGGCAAAAAUGAAGAUGUCCUUGGCUCAAUUCAGCUGUAGGCCCAGGUGCCCCUUGGCUCUGGUCACAUCGACCAGCACUCUUGGAAACUCAGAAACAUCUCAGGUGGCACUAAAUGCUCAUAUUUGUGCAACUGAAUGAAGCCACAGAUCCCCAUUAGCUACAACAAGACAACAGAAGCUCAGAUACCUUGCUGGCAUGUGGACACAUUUUUCCAUUUAAAAUGAAAAGAUAAAGGCAGAGAAAUCGGGACAAUACCUCCCUCACCCAGUGGUUAUUAUUGCUUUCCAGAGAAGCCACACCUUAUCAAUCCAGCGUGUAAACCAUCCUGUCAGGAACACAAUAACUGGGUUGUGCUCUGAGUCAUCAACAGGGCAUGGUUAUCCCAGGAAAGGCACAGACCUGAGGAACCCUUGGCCACGGGGCUGUUUGGGUGAAGGCCAGGAUGCUAUUAUUUCAUGAGCAAAGGUUCUCCAAAUUUCCUGUAGAUUCUUAGAGAGUUAAACAAGACAGAAACAAUAAUAACAACCUCUGAACAAAAAAAAACUGGGUUUAUGGAAAGGAAAAAAUGGAAUACAUAUAAUUAGAACUGUUAAAAAUGUUCAAGCGAAGUGAACCCCAUGUCCACAAAAUGAGGAGGUUACCAAAUGUUUGCUGAUGCAUUGGAAAAGUUCCCGUUUCAAGUGAGAAAUUUUGCACUCUAAAUAGUUUUCCAGAUAUUUGUUCUUCAGAGCCAAGUGACAAAAGCAGGAAAAGAAAGGAUGAAGAAGAAAUAACAGAGGUAAGAAAUGGUUUGCGUUUUCAAACACACAGAUUAAUCUACAGUCAAAACCAACCAAUUAGUUUUUAAACCCAGAAGACUUUCAUAGCAAAAGAUACAUGUAAGAAAUGUUCUGCCUUACUGUAGCCAGAAGAACUACGCAGAAUAAAAGAGGUUCUGUCGGGUGUCAGGUUUAUAGGCCCACAGGAAGAAGAUAAUAUGGAAAACUUUAUCAGAAUAUCAGCUGGGCAGUUAUGCAGGUCUGUUUCACUGGUGGUCAUAAACUGAUAAUAUAGAUCAGUUCUGAUAUAAACAAGGGAAGUUAGCCUCAAUAUAUUCCUUGUACUUAAAAUGUGCAUUGACCUGCUGAAGGAAUAAUGGUCAAAUCAACUCUCUACAAUUUGCAUCACGACUGGAAUAAAACAGUAGGACAGCUGAAGUGGAAGAGUGGGAUUCUGUAUAGGUUUGUUUGCACCGACAGAGCAACUGUGUCCUAAAUGUAUGGGGAAAAUAAUGUAGAACUAUCUACAGGCAAAAAAUGGGAGGGAAAUGCAAAAGCAUACAAAUCAGGGGAAGGCUAGUCUGGAAAAAGAGAAAGGAAAGUUUAUUAGCUCCUCUCAGGUACUUAUACAAAUAGGUAAGGUCCCCUCUGAGCUUCCUCUUCUCCAGGCUGAGCAGCCCCAGCUCUCAGUCUCUCCUCAAAAAUCCUCAGAUGCUCCAGACCCUCAUCUCUGUGGCUGGGCUCAUGCCAAUAUCCCCCCCCCAGAAGCUCUGAUGUGGGUUCCUGCCCCCACCAGACCAAGUGCUGGGAAGGCUGGGGCCCAGGCUUCUCCCUCUACCACCCUGAGCAGGUCUUGGGCUUCUCUGGAGCCCUGGGAUAAGCCUUGGAAGGAAACAGGAGAACAUGAGGAGAAGUUUGUUAGGGGUGGGUAUUUUUCUAUACCCCUAUCUGCUCGGAAGAGCCUGCAAAAUCCCCCCAGAAAACACAGACUCUGGAGUCUCAGCUCAGCGCUGUGGCAUGGAGAAAUGUAAUGGUGCAAAUUGCUGCACUAAUUGAAAAUGUCUCUUGGGGAAUAUAGGUCAACAGAACAUAAUCUGUCUCGCAGUUUGGCCAGCAUACAGAAGUUCAUACCUCCAGCAAACACUGCCAUAUGAGGUGCAGGGAUUGUGCAUGGUUAAAACCGAGGAUUAUAUUGCAUCCAAAAAGGGCAGGAGCAGUGCAAACAGUCAGAGUUAAUCAUCGGAGCCAGCCUCUCGCCCACCUCCUGUGCUUUCUCCCCAGAAAACAGGAUGCCUUUCUUGUCUGCCAGUCGCUGUUCCCGGCACGAGCUGAUGAGGCGUCUCUUUCUCCCCUAGUCGGUAAAAAAUGGGCGGCUGUCUUCCAGGAAAGGCACAAAUCUUCUUUGACAAGCAGCGAUAUUAACAGGGAUUAGGGAAUGCAAGAGCUACUGCAAUAACUGUCCGAAGGAUGCAGCCUGGGCUGCCCAGCCCUGGAAGCAUUUGAAUCACAGUGAGAGGCUAGACUGAGGAAGGGGCUGCAUUUUCAACCCACCUCACUUUUAAAAGAGCAUCAGGGAGAUUUGCCAGCAAUUUGUUUGCAGGAUGAGAAGUGAUAGAUUGUUAACUCUUUGGUAGCAGCUGCUGCUUGAGCAUCACGAUCGCAUCACUUAAUGUGAAAGUUUCUGUCUCUUGAAGUCAUGUCUGCGUUGGCAUAGUUACAAGAUCUUACUAAAAGAGCUGGGAAAAUAAAAGUGUUUAGCUUUUGUGAGCAGCACAGUCAUUUCUCUGGCUGCCACGUAACAUAGAUCAGCUCUUGAAAACUGGCAGCUUAGGUGCCAUUUUGGCCCUGGCAUCACGGGUCUCAGCACAGGGUGAAAAAAACCUGCACGUGUGAUGGUGAUCCUCUGGGUCUUUCAACGUGCCACCCAUCGAUGAGCUACGGAUCAUGCUGAGCUACGGAAACAGCAACACACGGAGCUACACGCUGGCUCUCGGCGGUGUUUGAAGCUGGUUACACCCAGCCAUUGAUUUCAGGCAGUUUCAAGUGAAGGAUUUCUUCCUCGUCCAUCGUCAAAUAAAAAGGAGGACAGGGAGAGGACACUUGGACAGGAAAAGGGAUGAUUCAAAGCGCCCAUCAACCUCAGUUGGCUCUGAUUACUAGGUGUCUGCUAUCCUGUAUCAACAGCGUGUGGACAGCCAUUAAGUGCAUGUGUAAAUAAUCACAGCCACUGAGCCCCUCAUGGAUUCUAGCGAGAAAAAUUGCCUGUGCAAAA